GUCCCUAUAAUAGUAACAUUAAUUAAAGUUUGUAUUUAAAAUGCUGUACUAAUGAAACCUUCAUGCAGAGAUCUCAUUACUGCAUUAUAAUACAUGGAACCCUAACGUGUCUUGGUGUUGAAAGCUGUAGGAAGCUGUCAGUUAUAGAAGCCUGCAGUGCAGAGUGACAGACAAGGCAGGGGCUAAUUAUAAAGAUAUAUGCCACAUGACAUUUCUCAAUGCCACAAACCAAGAAGCAGACAUAAACUAUUUCUCAUUCUCACUAUGUCACAAUGCAAAAUUCCUUUGCUUUAUUAACACGUUCAUUUGAGUAUAUUGCGACCCAGUGUCUGUAACUCUUCAAAAAAGUUUUCUGUCUUCCUCGUGGAAUCACAUGACAAUUUUCAAAGUAAUCAUAAUCUAAAAGUAACAGACCAUGUUUUAUUUCCCUACUUUUAUGAUGU